GCGGGAGUAGCUCAGUUGGUAGAGCUCUUCGUUGCCAACGAAGAGGUCGCGGGUUCGAAUCCCGUCUCCCGCU
rnacentral:tRNA from 1 species